rnacentral:rRNA from 1 species
AACAGGAUUAGAUACCCUGGUAGUCCACGCCGUAAACGAUGUCGAUUUGGAGGUUGUGCCCUUGAGGCGUGGCUUCCGGAGCUAACGCGUUAAAUCGACCGCCUGGGGAGUACGGCCGCAAGGUUAAAACUCAAAUGGAUUGACGGGGGCCCGCACAAGCGGUGGAGCAUGUGGUUUAAUUCGAUGCAACGCGAAGAACCUUACCUACUCUUGACAUCCACGGAAUUUGGCAGAGAUGCCUUAGUGCCUUCGGGAACGCUGAGACAGGUGCUGCGUGGCUGUCGUCAGCUCGUGUUGUGAAAUGUUGGGUUAAGUCCCGCAACGAGCGCAACCCUUAUCCUUUGUUGCCAGCGAUUCGGUCGGGAACUCAAAGGAGACUGCCGGUGAUAAACCGGAGGAAGGUGGGGAUGACGUCAAGUCAUCAUGGCCCUUACGAGUAGGGCUACACACGUGCUACAAUGGCGCAUACAAAGAGAAGCGACCUCGCGAGAGCAAGCGGACCUCACAAAGUGCGUCGUAGUCCGGAUCGGAGUCUGCAACUCGACUCCGUGAAGUCGGAAUCGCUAGUAAUCGUGGAUCAGAAUGCCACGGUGAAUACGUUCCCGGGCCUUGUACACACCGCCCGUCACACCAUGGGAGUGGGUUGCAAAAGAAGUAGGUAGCUUAACCUUCGGGAGGGCGCUUACCACUUUGUGAUUCAUGACUGGGGUGAAGUCGUAACAAGGUAACC